rnacentral:tRNA from 1 species
GCUGGUUUGGCUCAGUGGAUAGAGCAUCGGCCUGCGGAGUCAAGGAUGCCAGGUUCGAUUCCGGCCAAGGGCA